rnacentral:rRNA from 1 species
GACGAACGCUGGCGGCGCGCCUAACACAUGCAAGUCGAACGAGCGAGAGAGAGCUUGCUUUCUCAAGCGAGUGGCGAACGGGUGAGUAACGCGUGAGGAACCUGCCUCAAGGAGGGGGACAACAGUUGGAAACGACUGCUAAUACCGCAUAAGCCCACGACCCGGCAUCGGGUAGAGGGAAAAGGAGCAAUCCGCUUUGAGAUGGCCUCGCGUCCGAUUAGCUAGUUGGUGAGGUAACGGCCCACCAAGGCGACGAUCGGUAGCCGGACUGAGAGGUUGAACGGCCACAUUGGGACUGAGACACGGCCCAGACUCCUACGGGAGGCAGCAGUGGGGAAUAUUGCACAAUGGGGGAAACCCUGAUGCAGCGACGCCGCGUGGAGGAAGAAGGUCUUCGGAUUGUAAACUCCUGUUGUUGAGGAAGAUAAUGACGGUACUCAACAAGGAAGUGACGGCUAACUACGUG